ensembl:misc_RNA
CUGAUGGCCAUGGAGACUGAAGACCCUAGGAGAUGGGCAGUCUUCCUCUAUGCUACACUGUUCAUGUGUCUGAACGCUGGCCUGCAGAGUCCCCCUGUAGAGAAGGAGGGGGAGUUCAAUCUUCAUGGCCCAUUCAGUCCUUGGCAUCU